UGUGCCUGACGGCGGGCCCCGUGGUGCGCGUCUGUAUGGGCAUCGAGCCCGCAUUCUACGUCGACUCCGGCCCGCCCACAUACGCAUUCAACCCCUGCGGACACAUGGCCUCCGAGAGGACCGUCAAGUACUGGGCGAGUGUGGACAUCCCGCACGGCACGAACGGCUUCCACGCGAUCUGUCCCUUCUGCGCCGCCCCGCUGCAGGGCUCACCCGGAUACGUGCGCCUCAUCUUCCAGGACAACCUCGACUGAAUCUCAUCCCAGCCCAUACCACAACACACAACACACACACACAUCCGCGUAUAGAACUAUACGUAGGACAGUGCAUCGAUAACGAAGGCACAAAGACAUCACUAAUGGCUAGACUCGGCUAUGGACUUAUUACAUCGCUUGAUAAAUGGGAAGAACAACAACGGCCAUGCAUCGGAAAAAAAAUUCGUAUUGACAGUUUCAACAGUCCAAGUAUACUUGUUUACUUAGUUUAUAAAAUCAUGUCAUCUCUCAAUUUCUCAUUGAAAAAACAAAGACAAAAAUAGGUAUAAAUAAUGUCCACGACAAUCAAACAUCACGGUUACUGGGAAUUAAUGAUCACACUGUAGCAAUGUACAUUGAUUUGGCACUUCAGGAACUUGUGGACUGAUCUGCCUGACGUGCCAACUCAAGUAUCGUGUGCUUUUUAUUUUUUUUAAUAUUCAGAUUAAAUUAAUCACCUAUAUUUCUAAUAAGGUUGAUUCUUUUUGAAUAAAUCUGUCCAUUCUAUUAUAAACCGUAUGCUAAAGCAACAAGGUACAAAAUAGAAUAAUUUUUCAAAAAGUCAAAAGUUCCCAGUAUGUUAUCAUUCAGUAUAAAAUGUUUAAAAUAUCGAUGCAUUAAUAUGAUUAUUUAAGACUGGAAAUUCACCAAAGUUGAAAUUAUCAAUAAAACACAUUCUAUGCCACCAGCACAUUCAGCAAGUUUACUUAAAUUGUACGUGAAAUAGUGGCAUUGAAUGUUUUAAAAUAAUUGUUCUAGAUAAAUUUUAGCUUUGUGUCGACAUUUUGACAUUCAACAAUGGAUUUACCGAUUUAUUAAAUCGAUUUAAAAACUUACCAAAAUGAGAAAAUAUUUUGUAAAUAUUAUCUCUUAUCGAUAAAAACACUUCCAACACUAUUCAUAAGCAACUUUGGAAGUAAAUGAUUUAGACAUUUAAUAAUUUGCAAAAAUUAAAGGUACGCGUCUAUUGAUCGCCGGACGCACCACACGCACGGUCCGCAAUGGAUUUUAAUUUGUAUAUUUUACAUAGGGCUGUAUCCAUUAUCCACGCAACCCGCAUCAAGACAGAGCAAAUCCGUUUAAUCCAUGCAUUGCGUCCGAGUGGACCAAUGUACGUGAACCUUUAAAAUCGAUUAUCGUCCAGCUUUCAUUCUCUGGCGUCCAUGAAGCUAUCAAUCUUCAUUUAUGUACCUACGAAUGCAUGUAUGUGCAUACAUACAUACAGUUUCAUUAUUUUAUAUAGAUAAUCGUUUUAAACAUGGCGAGCUUGGAAUUUUUCAAUAU